rnacentral:rRNA from 1 species
CAGUCGCCGCGGGAAUACAGAGGGUGCAAGCGUUAUCCGGAAUGAUUAGGCGUAAAGCGUCUGUAGGUGGCUUUUCAAGUCCGCCGUCAAAUCCCAGGGCUCAACCCUGGACAGGCGGUGGAAACUACCAAGCUGGAGUACGGUAGGGGCAGAGGGAAUUUCCAGUGGAGCGGUGAAAUGCGUUGAGAUCGAAAAGAACACCAACAGCGAAAGCACUCUGCUGGGACGACACUGACACUAAGAGACGAAAGCUAGGGGAGCAAAUGGGAUUAGAUACCCCAGUAGUCCCUGUCUCUUAUAC